UUGAUCCUGGCUCAGGACGAACGCUGGCGGCAUGCCUAAUACAUGCAAGUCGAACGAACUCUGGUAUUGAUUGGUGCUUGCAUCAUGAUUUACAUUUGAGUGAGUGGCGAACUGGUGAGUAACACGUGGGAAACCUGCCCAGAAGCGGGGGAUAACACCUGGAAACAGAUGCUAAUACCGCAUAACAACUUGGACCGCAUGGUCCGAGUUUGAAAGAUGGCUUCGGCUAUCACUUCUGGAUGGUCCCGCGGCGUAUUAGCUAGAUGGUGAGGUAACGGCUCACCAUGGCAAUGAUACGUAGCCGACCUGAGAGGGUAAUCGGCCACAUUGGGACUGAGACACGGCCCAAACUCCUACGGGAGGCAGCAGUAGGGAAUCUUCCACAAUGGACGAAAGUCUGAUGGAGCAACGCCGCGUGAGUGAAGAAGGGUUUCGGCUCGUAAAACUCUGUUGUUAAAGAAGAACAUAUCUGAGAGUAACUGUUCAGGUAUUGACGGUAUUUAACCAGAAAGCCACGGCUAACUACGUGCCAGCAGCCGCGGUAAUACGUAGGUGGCAAGCGUUGUCCGGAUUUAUUGGGCGUAAAGCGAGCGCAGGCGGUUUUUUAAGUCUGAUGUGAAAGCCUUCGGCUCAACCGAAGAAGUGCAUCGGAAACUGGGAAACUUGAGUGCAGAAGAGGACAGUGGAACUCCAUGUGUAGCGGUGAAAUGCGUAGAUAUAUGGAAGAACACCAGUGGCGAAGGCGGCUGUCUGGUCUGUAACUGACGCUGAGGCUCGAAAGUAUGGGUAGCAAACAGGAUUAGAUACCCUGGUAGUCCAUACCGUAAACGAUGAAUGCUAAGUGUUGGAGGGUUUCCGCCCUUCAGUGCUGCAGCUAACGCAUUAAGCAUUCCGCCUGGGGAGUACGGCCGCAAGGCUGAAACUCAAAGGAAUUGACGGGGGCCCGCACAAGCGGUGGAGCAUGUGGUUUAAUUCGAAGCUACGCGAAGAACCUUACCAGGUCUUGACAUACUAUGCAAAUCUAAGAGAUUAGACGUUCCCUUCGGGGACAUGGAUACAGGUGGUGCAUGGUUGUCGUCAGCUCGUGUCGUGAGAUGUUGGGUUAAGUCCCGCAACGAGCGCAACCCUUAUUAUCAGUUGCCAGCAUUAAGUUGGGCACUCUGGUGAGACUGCCGGUGACAAACCGGAGGAAGGUGGGGAUGACGUCAAAUCAUCAUGCCCCUUAUGACCUGGGCUACACACGUGCUACAAUGGAUGGUACAACGAGUUGCGAACUCGCGAGAGUAAGCUAAUCUCUUAAAGCCAUUCUCAGUUCGGAUUGUAGGCUGCAACUCGCCUACAUGAAGUCGGAAUCGCUAGUAAUCGCGGAUCAGCAUGCCGCGGUGAAUACGUUC
rnacentral:rRNA from 1 species